rnacentral:misc_RNA from 1 species
ACAAAUCCAAUAAUUGUAGAAGGACUAAUCAUCUCUCUGCAAAUAUUAAUCCGUCGGUAGCUUUAAAUAGCAACUGGCUGUGAUAUAAAUGCGUGUUAUGUUGACAGUGUGUGUGAAAAUUAAUAUUGA